AGUUGUAAUUUGCAGAGGAUGCUUUUGGCGCGGUGCCUUCCGAGUUCCCUGGAACGGGACGCCAUAGAGGGUGAGAGCCCCGUCUGGUCGGACACCAAGCCAGUGUAAAGCUCCUUCGACGAGUCGAGUAGUUUGGGAAUGCUGCUCUAAAUGGGAGGUAUAUGUCUUCUAAAGCUAAAUACCGGCCAGAGACCGAUAGCGCACAAGUAGAGUGAUCGAAAGAUGAAAAGCACUUUGAAAAGAGGGUUAAACAGNACGUGAAAUUGUUGAAAGGGAAGCGUUUAUGACCAGACUUGUUCCCGGUGAAUCAUCCCGCGUUCUCGCUGGUGCACUUUGCCGGNCUCAGGCCAGCAUCAGUUCGCCGCGGGGGAUAAAGGCUUCGGCAACGUGNGUCCCUCGGGAGUGUUAUANCGNGUUGCGUAAUACCCUGUGGCGNAGUGAGGUUCGCGCUCCGCAAG
rnacentral:rRNA from 1 species